rnacentral:rRNA from 1 species
GAUGAACGCUAGCUACAGGCUUAACACAUGCAAGUCGAGGGGCAGCAUGAACUUAGCUUGCUAAGUUUGAUGGCGACCGGCGCACGGGUGAGUAACACGUAUCCAACCUGCCGAUGACUCGGGGAUAGCCUUUCGAAAGAAAGAUUAAUACCCGAUGGCAUAGUUCUUCCGCAUGGUAGAACUAUUAAAGGAUUUCGGUCAUCGAUGGGGAUGCGUUCCAUUAGGUUGUUGGCGGGGUAACGGCCCACCAAGCCUUCGAUGGAUAGGGGUUCUGAGAGGAAGGUCCCCCACAUUGGAACUGAGACACGGUCCAAACUCCUACGGGAGGCAGCAGUGAGGAAUAUUGGUCAAUGGACGAGAGUCUGAACCAGCCAAGUAGCGUGAAGGAUGACUGCCCUAUGGGUUGUAAACUCCUUUUACCUGGGAAUAACGGGCGCUACGCGUAGCGCUGUGCAUGUACCGGGAGAAUAAGCAAUCGGCUAAUUCCGUG